AAGUUCUUACCAUAAUCUUCAUCAUCAACACCCCUCUCCCCCUCUCAACAUCUCAAAUAGCAUUCAAACACAAUCCUUUGAAGCUAGCUCUCAUGUUGCUCUAUGCUUGUCACAUGGUAAAACUAGUACUUGGAAACUGAAGAAUUUAUUUUUAGGGUUCGUGAAGACAAGAAACAAUCUUCCACAUGUGUAUGAACUAAAGUUGAGCUGCUGUGGAAACAAAUCUACAGUGGCGUACGUUAUGCAGUACAUGUAGUACCUUGAAUCAUUGGAGUUUGCUUUAGAGCAUGCAGUAGAUGGAUAUGACAAUACUUUGGUGUCUUGGAUGUUGCCCUAGCAGCAAGUUCCCAGGCAUGUGUCCAGUUGGGUACAAUUACCAAAAUAUCCUCCCUCUUCAGAUCUGAGUCUGACACAUUAUUAGGGUUUACUGAUUGUAGUUAAAUUAUUUUUAUUUUAAUUAAU
rnacentral:lncRNA from 1 species